GAUGUAUAAAGUCUCAACAAGUUCCUAUCUAUAAAAUGGUAGUGAAAUCAAAAUAAAAUAUUUCAAAAAUGAAUGAAAAAACACUAUGAUCAUCCACAUACACUAGACUCUUAAAAUGUACUUAGGUCAAUACUUAGGUAAUAAUACAUACAAACAAAAUCGUCUCUUCACCAUAUAAAUGUGUUGUCUGUGUAUUCCAGUGUAACUACUGAUAUAAUUAAAUUAGUUGUAGUUCUUAUGUUUACCUUUGCUCAGAUUUUAUACAAAAUCAAUUCUAAAGAACAGAGGCUGAUU